rnacentral:rRNA from 1 species
GACGAACGCUGGCGGCGUGCUUAACACAUGCAAGUCGAACGGGCCUUGUCCCCUUUUUUUUGGGGGUGGGGUUAGUGGCGAACGGGUGAGUAACACGUGAGUAACCUGCCCCUCACUUCUGGAUAACCGCUUGAAAGGGUGGCUAAUACGGGGUGUUCUGGCCUGCUCGCAUGGGUGGGUUUGGAAAGAUUCGACCGGUUUUGGUUGUUUUGGUGGGGGAUGGGCUCGCGGCCUAUCAGCUUGUUGGUGGGGUGAUGGCCUGCCAAGGCUUUGACGGGUAGCCGGCCUGAGAGGGUGGGCGGUCACACUGGGACUGAGACACGGCCCAGACUCCUACGGGAGGCAGCAGUGGGGAAUAUUGCACAAUGGGCGCAAGCCUGAUGCAGCGACGCCGCGUGAGGGAUGGAGGCCUUCGGGUUGUGAACCUGUUUCGCCAGUGAAGAAGGUCCUGCUCUUUGUGGUGGGGUUGACGGUAGCUGGGUUAAUGAAGCGCCGGCUAACUACGUG